CCUACGGGAGGCAGCAGUGAGGAAUCUUGGUCAAUGGACGAGAGUCUGAACCAGCCAAGUAGCGUGAAGGAUGACUGCCCUCUGGGUUGUAAACUUCUUUUAUAAAGGAAUAAAACGAGGCACGUGUGCCUUUUUGCAUGUACUUUAUGAAUAAGGAUCGGCUCACUCCGUUCCCGCCGCCGCGGUAAUACGGAGGAUCCGAGCUUUAUCCGGCUUUAUUGGUGUUAAAGGGAGCGUAGAUGGGUUGUUAAGUCAGAUGUGAAAGUUUGCGGCUCAACCGUAGAAUUGCAAUUGAUACUGGCAAGCUUGAGUACAGUAGAGGGAGGCAGAAUUCGAGGUGUAGCGGUGAAAUGCGUAGAUAUCACGAAGAACACCGAUGGCGAAGGCAGCUUACUAAACUGUGACUGACAUUGAUGCUCGAAAGUGUGGGUAUCAAACAGGAUUAGAUACCCGGGUAGUC
rnacentral:rRNA from 1 species